UACGGAGGGUGCGAGCGUUGUCCGGAAUCACUGGGCGUAAAGGGCGCGUAGGCGGCAGGGAAAGUCAGCGGUGAAAGCCCGGAGCUCAACUCCGGGUCGGCCGAUGAUACUUCUUUGCUCGAGCACUGUAGAGGCAGAUGGAAUUCCGGGUGUAGCGGUGGAAUGCGUAGAGAUCCGGAAGAACACCGGGUGGCGAAGGCGGGUCUGCUGGGCAGUUGCUGGACGCUGAUGCGCGACAGCGUGGGGAGCAAACAGGAGUUAGAUACCCCGA
rnacentral:rRNA from 1 species